UUAAUUUUUCAAGUGAAAUUUAUUUUCAUGCGUCUUUUUUCAAAAAAUGAGCCUUUUAAAUGUGUCCUGGUAAGUUUCUGAGAUGUCUUUUUUUUUAAAGCCAAAGUUAAACUGCUUUUGUUCUGUGGUAAGAACUUCCGCUUAAUACCUCUCUGAGCUGAAGGAAAAUUAUUCAAGUGUCCUUUGCAGAAUGACUUGAUGAAGUUAAAACUCUAGAUUUCGAAAAAGUAUAUCAUUUUCAAGUUUUAAAUUACUUUUUAUGAGUUAAACAAGAAUUCUUUUCAUGGAUUUUGAAGUGUCAGUGGUGGAAGUUACUACCCUCACCUGUUUAUGAACUUGUAUAAUAUAUCGUGGUGUUUGUUAUCUGCCUAUGUUAUUCCACAAUGAAGGCUUACAAAUGGUACUUUUGAUUAGUUAGAUGCUUUUUAACAAAUACAAGUGUACAACUAACAAGUUAAAUUGCAAGUAUCUGUGGCAUAAGUUAUUUGGAUUGUUUGACUAAACUAUUGUUGCUCCAUCUUCAAUUAGUGUAUCUUUUUGGUGGCACAAAAAAUGAGAAGAUCUUAUGUUGAGGCUUUUGCUGGUGCUUGAUUGUAUGUUUGAUUUGAUCACAAUAAUGAUCACAGCAACCUCAGCCACGAUUUGGAGAAUCUCAUCUCUGCCUUAUGGACCUUAGGCGGUUGCUGUGAUUUCUCUAGUAUGUGAAAUAGUAGUCAUCUGAACUUACAUUUCUUACUGUCAACCAUAUGCAAGCUGGGAUCGAGCUCCAGCAGCUCGUCUGCCUCACUAUACCUCCCAUGUUGUUCCAACACAUCAGCAGGUCUCCUUGGACUUUGGCAUAGCCCACUUAACUCCUAUGACUGCACAGUGAAUAAAAAGAUGAUUGAGGGUCUCAGAUUCCUUCCCACACAAAAAAAAAACAUCUGAAUAUAAGUCAGACAUGCCUCUUUAGCAACCAACAUGUACUUUGUAUGGUAUUUUAACCUUACAGAUAUGUUUCCAAGGCCAUAUGCAUUGAUUCCCAGAAGCAUUAAAAAUUGUAUAAGCAGAACUAACUGAGAAUAGGCCUUAACUAGCUUCCAACUUGCUCUCUUUUCAUUGUUUUUAUAUCUCCCGAUCAACCUUCUGACAUUCCACCCUAAGAUUAAGCGCUUCCCAUCAGAACUUAACCUAAAAGUAUCACUUCUAGACUCAAAUACCCAAGUAUAAGAUAGUGAUAAGUUGGUAACAAUCCCAACUUAUCUAUGGUCCAGGUAAUUUUCUGCUGGCAGAUAUUGUGGGAUGUCACAUGACUGCUAUUGUAACUUAGCUUCCACCCCCCUCCUCUUAAGCUCUUUGCACAAAGAUGCUGUAGAACUUCCACACUUGAUGUCAGAUGAUGUAAAAAAUCUGGCAUAUUUAAGUAUCAACACUCAUCGGGUUUCGAACUUGAGAUCUCCAACAUGGAAGUCCCAAGCUCAAACCACUGGGCCACCCCGAAGGGUACUCAUCUUGUAAUUUGUAUUUUCUACUUUCUAACUUAGUUUCGUUUUUCAGUUUUUUUCUUUUGUUUCUUGAGAUCAAUUAAUAGAUAUAUAGACAGAUAUACUAUUCUCUUCUAAUUUUAACUAUAAAUAAGAUAUACAUGUGGAGUAUGAAAAAGCGAAUGAUGUUUAUAAAUAACUUCAUAUUAUCAAUUAAGGGAAUGAUCCUGAAAUAUAAUUAUACAGUACCUCUGUCUCUUUUGUGGUGAACUAUUUAGAAUUAAUUCACAAGAAUUUAUAUUGUCAUAAAAAAAAAAGGGAACUAUAUAAUUGUUAACCCAUUUUCUUUUCUGGUUCAUUACUGAUGCUUGUAUUAAUUAUUAUAUAAACUACUUUCUAGUCAAGUCGCUUGAAGAAUUGCAUAAUGAUCAAUCAAGCUACUUGAAUGUGGAUCACAUGUACUAGUAGCUAUUAAAGCGGUAUAAAGUUUAAAGUACAAAAGAACAUGUCACUUCAACACCUAAAACUGGAACGCAUCACCAAAUUAUGUGGUAUAUCACAAUUUUUUUGUGAACAAUAAUUCUUUGUAAGAGAGGAAAUUUUUUCUUAGGUGUGCUUGUCUUCAUCAUCUAAUUAAAUUUAUUUGUUGUAUUUAAUUUAGCACAUAAGUGAUAAUGCUAUUAAACUAGAUGUGAUACACUGUUAAUAGACUGCCUCAUCUUUCCAUCUGUUCAAGCCUUGGGGACGUGUAUCUGUGUGGGUGGGAGGUUGUAGGUACCCCGUGGAAUUAGUCAAGGUAUGUGCAAGCUGAAGAUAUACUUGGCACUGUGGUUUAUUAUUGCGCGACAAUGAGCUUCUUAAUAAUAAGUUACAGUUUGCUUGCCAAUUACCUCGAGUUAUGAUGAACUCGAAGGCCAUUAUUUUGCCCACAAUGUGGCAAAGAACCUGCUCCUUUUUUUACUCACUUUUUAUUUCCUGAUAAGCUGUUUAGUGCUCCAACGCACAUCAGCGAUAUGCUUUCUGCUUAAUUAUCAAGAUUUUAUUAAGCUAGUCCAAGUAAGGUGUCUGCACUAACUCCGCACACAUGCUUCUGCUGCUUCAUCUUUCUUUCUAUGUAUAAAGCUUGUUAAGAAAAUGGUAUAAGGUAUGCAUCAUUCCAUAACCUUUGGAGAGAUGAUGCUGCAGCCUGCAGGACAGAGGGGACUGCAACACCCCAUAAGCAAAUACUUAAAUUUUUUGCCAUCUUGUUGGUGAAAAUUUAGCUUUUUAAUAAAUAAUAUUGUGAAGAAUUCAGGUUCAUGCUAGAGAUUAGGCAGGACACAAGCUUUAAGUAGGCGUAGACACAGUGGUGCAUAUAGAAGAAUAAAACUCAUAGAUAUGUGGCAAAAGGGGUCGAUGGGUCAACAAAAGAAGAUAUAAUUACGAGUAUGUACUCAUUAUGAACAAUCUGAAGAAAUAUAUAAAGGUAGCUGAACUAUGCAAUUUCUAAGCGUUUCAUGUGAUAUAGCUAGGUUGUUUUCUGUCUGGUGCUUUACCUUAUCAAAAUGUAUUAUUUUGACUGGCUUUUUAGGUAAAUGGAUUUACAGCUAAAUAAGGCAGAUUUGAGCCGUCCAAUUUAAACUCUAUUCCAGAUGAAAGAGAAAAGAUGCCCUGUUGGAAAGCUUGAAGAAGCUGUGUAUUAUAUGGCAGGACAAUUGAAAACUUCUACUGGUUGUGGGAGACUAUGAUUACUUGGUCAAGUUACUGGAGGGGAUUCUGUGUUUACUGAUUAUCGCUGUUAUUUUUAUGAGCAGCCUAGCACUAAUAUACUGCUGGACAUCACCAAACAAAUAAAGUGUGGGAGUUUCCAUUUACAAAAAUCUGUUCAUCACAUUACUGAGCUACUGAAUUAUACUACUAUUUUCUCCUAAGUUUUCCCAUUUACAAAAAUCUGUGCAUCAGAAUACUGAGCUACAACUUGUGUAUUACAGCAAGGAGCUACAGAAGUAGUAUUGAAUUCUUUCCUCAUUUUGGCAUGGGAAUUGGUCUUGCAAUGGAGGAAGCAUGCUAAAUGUGAGGAGAGGAAUUGCAACUUUUGCACUCAUUUGGCUUUUAUCUUGUGCUGCCACUUGCAAGAACGUCUUUUUGGUUUGUUUUUUUUAAAAUUAUUUUCCCCUUCCAAAUCCUUAAUAGAAUUUGUUAAUCUA